rnacentral:rRNA from 1 species
GAUGAACGCUGGCGGCGUGCCUAAUACAUGCAAGUCGGACGCAAUGCUUCGGCAUUGAGUGGCGAACGGGUGAGUAAUACAUAAGCAACCUGCCCCUGUGAGGGGGAUAACUGCUGGAAACGGCAGCUAAGACCGCAUAGGCAUACAUGACGCAUGUCGAGUAUGUUAAAUAUCCUACGGGAUAGCACAGGGAUGGGCUUAUGACGCAUUAGCUAGCUGGUGAGGUAGAGGCUCACCAGGGCGACGAUGCGUAGCCGGCCUGAGAGGGUGGACGGCCACACUGGGACUGAGACACGGCCCAGACUCCUACGGGAGGCAGCAGUAGGGAAUUUUCGGCAAUGAGCGAAAGCCUGACCGAGCAACGCCGCGUGAAGGAAGAAGUCAUUCGUGAUGUAAACUUCUGUUAUAAAGGAAGAACGGCGCCUGUAGGGAAUGACAGGCGAGUGACGGUACUUUAUGAGGAAG